rnacentral:rRNA from 1 species
GACGAACGCUGGCGGCGUGCUUAACACAUGCAAGUCGAACGGAAAGGCCCUGCUUUUGUGGGGUGCUCGAGUGGCGAACGGGUGAGUAACACGUGAGUAACCUGCCCUUGACUUUGGGAUAACUUCAGGAAACUGGGGCUAAUACCGGAUAGGAGCUCCUGCUGCAUGGUGGGGGUUGGAAAGUUUCGGCGGUUGGGGAUGGACUCGCGGCUUAUCAGCUUGUUGGUGGGGUAGUGGCUUGCCAAGGCUUUGACGGGUAGCCGGCCUGAGAGGGUGACCGGCCACAUUGGGACUGAGAUACGGCCCAGACUCCUACGGGAGGCAGCAGUGGGGAAUAUUGCACAAUGGGCGGAAGCCUGAUGCAGCAACGCCGCGUGCGGGAUGACGGCCUUCGGGUUGUAAACCGCUUUCGCCUGUGACGAAGCGUGAGUGACGGUAAUGGGUAAAGAAGCACCGGCUAACUACG